rnacentral:lncRNA from 12 species
CAGAAACCAAUAGGAGAUAUCCAAGGGCUUUAUUUCUUUGUUUUGUUUUAGCAGAGGUACAUGGACAAGGCAUUGUGUUUUGGGGUGAGGGCAUUUAAGUCUUCCCUGCAAACGACAUGUUAGAAACACGAUAGCUGUAGACAAUCCUUUAUCAGCAAUGGGCACCUGUGAUUUACCAAACCUGCUAAGCCACCAGGUGGGAGAUGAAAGCAAAGCAGGCAAGCUCUGAAGGCCGAGGCAGGAAAGUGAAGCUUUGGUCAUGGAGGGCUACCAGCCGGUCUGUGGGCAGGCUGCUGAUUACUGGCCAUGGCAGGCAGGGAAUGGAAGGUGGCGAGAGAGAGCCAAGGUGAGCCUCUCCUGAACUUCACCUGCAUGGCGGCCUAUCCAGCUCUGACCUGCAAGCCUUUGCACACCCCAGCUGAGGAAGAUCACAUGCGGGACACAAUCUGGGUCACGUCGUUUGGAUGCAGGCAAUCUAGGCCACGUUAUAUAGCAGCAGCUUUUGCAAUCUCCUCCCUCUGGGAUGUGUCUGCGUCUGAAAGCCCGCCUUGGGCACCUGGCACAUGCACACAUGCACCCAGCUGUCCAUUCUCCUUGCAAUGUCACUUCAACUCCAUGCCUACUUCAGGGGACACUUGUUCCUUUCUGGUCCUCACGAGGGCGGAGGCCUGCUCUUGGUGCAUCAGCUGGAGAAGGGGUGCAGACAGACAGCUCUAUCUGCUGCCUCUCACAGCCCGGCCUGGAACGCCACUACCGCCAUGGCGCCCACAAAAGAAAAUGAGGAGGCAGCAUUAUUGCAGCGAUUCUAAUUACUGUAUGCUAAUUGGGCCACCUUCAGGCUUUCGGGAUGGUGCCAUUUCCCUGAGAUGAAAUGACAGAAGCCCUUGCACUUGCCUUGCUCUAUUUAUUCUUCCAUUGCUUGCAGAACAUCGUGUACCAGGCAGCAGCCUGCACAGAUACCCCAGGCAGGGAGGAAUCACGGACCUGUCUGCCCCUGGGUGACCUGGUCCACAUUCCAUCAGACCCAGAUGGAAGUUCUUGACCUUCAGCAUUCCUGAAUGUCCUCAGCCCCUAGGGCAUGCAAAUUUUCUUAUAGGUGCAUAUAUGCAUUAAAUAGGGUGUGUGUGGGGGAGGGUUCAAAACUGUCCUUGGUUUUUCAAGGAAACCCAGAUAUCUUUUUUUUUUUUUUUUAAUGUGAAAACCACUGUCCUAGAGGGGAAAGCACCUAAUUUAUCAAGAGUUUAUUUUAUUCUCUGCAUACCCUGGGGGAAAGAAAUAUAAUAGCAAAAAUUUUAAAAGGCAGGAAAAGAAAGAAAGAGACUGAGAUUGAAAUUAGAACAGAGUCAACAAUCAAAGGAUCAAAUUUAGUUCAACCCAUUUAACCCUUACCAGGCUUGUUCACCUCUUGGUUUAAAUUCUAACCAAUUAAAAAA